rnacentral:rRNA from 1 species
UCAACGGAGAGUUUGAUCCUGGCUCAGGACGAACGCUGGCGGCGUGCUUAACACAUGCAAGUCGAACGGUGAACUCGAGAGCUUGCUCUUGAGGGAUCAGUGGCGAACGGGUGAGUAACACGUGAGUAACCUGCCCCAGACUCUGGAAUAACACCUGGAAACAGGUGCUAAUACCGGAUACGACACGAACAGGCAUCUGUAUCGUGUGGAAAGUUUUUUCGGUCUGGGAUGGACUCGCGGCCUAUCAGCUAGUUGGUGAGGUAAAGGCUCACCAAGGCGACGACGGGUAGCCGGCCUGAGAGGGCGACCGGCCACACUGGGACUGAGACACGGCCCAGACUCCUACGGGAGGCAGCAGUGGGGAAUAUUGCACAAUGGGCGAAAGCCUGAUGCAGCGACGCCGCGU